rnacentral:rRNA from 1 species
UACAGAGGGUGCGAGCGUUAAUCGGAAUUACUGGGCGUAAAGCGCACGUAGUCGGCUUUGCAAGUCGGGUGUGAAAACUCCGGGCUCAACCCGGAGACGCCACCCGAUACUGUCGUGACUGGAGUCCGGUAGGGGAGUGGGGAAUUCCUGGUGUAGCGGUGAAAUGCGCAGAUAUCAGGAGGAACACCGGUGGCGAAGGCGCCACUCUGGGCCGGUACUGACGCUGAGGAGCGAAAGCGUGGGUAGCAAACAGG